rnacentral:misc_RNA from 1 species
GAAUUGCGAUAUGUAAUGUGAAUUGCAGAAUUCAGUGAAUCAUCGAAUCUUUGAACGCACCUUGCGCCCUUUGGUAUUCCGAAGGGCAUGCCUGUUUGAGUGUCAUUAAAUUCUCAACUUUGAAAACAUUUGUUUUGUCAAAGCUUGGACUGUGGAGGUUUGCCGGCAAAUCAAUGUCAGCUCUUCUUAAAUGCAUUAGCGGAACCUUUUUGUUUAAAAGGACUGGCUUCAGUUUGGUAAUUCUAUCUAUGCUGUUGCUGUUGUCCCUUUGUAUGUUCUGCUUCUAAUGGUCUUUGGACUGUCUCUAUUGAGGCAUACACUUUUAAGCUUGACCUCAAAUCAGGUAGGACUACCCGCUGAACUUAA